rnacentral:hammerhead_ribozyme from 1 species
GCACUGCUGAGGAGUCCCACAAUAGAGGGAAACGGCUGUCCAGUGC